ensembl:miRNA
GAAAGGUCUCCUUGAGAUCCUGCUGUAAGGCAUUUUCUCAAUUAGUGAUGAAUGGGGAGGUCCAGCCCAUGGUGGGUGGGACCAUCCCUGGGCUGGUGGUCUU